rnacentral:rRNA from 1 species
GUGGGGAAUCUUGCGCAAUGGGCGAAAGCCUGACGCAGCCAUGCCGCGUGAAUGAUGAAGGUCUUAGGAUUGUAAAAUUCUUUCACCGGGGACGAUAAUGACGGUACCCGGAGAAGAAGCACCGGCUAACUUCGUGCCAGCAGCCGCGGUAAUACGAAGGGUGCAAGCGUUAUCCGGAAUCACUGGGUUUAAAGGGUACGUAGGCGGUUAAUUAAGUCAGUAGUGAAAGACUGUCGCUCAACGACGGAUGUGCUAUUGAUACUGGUUAACUUGAAUCAGGUUAGAGUUGGCGGAAUGGGUCAUGUAGCGGUGAAAUGCUUAGAUAUGACUUGGAACACCGAUAGCGAAGGCAGCUGACUGAGCCUUGAUUGACGCUGAGGUACGAAAGUGUGGGUAGCGAACAGGAUUAGAAACCCCGGUAGUCC